rnacentral:lncRNA from 1 species
CUAAUUAAAUCUUUAAAAUGGUAAACAAGCUUUAAUCAAAUUCAAAAGAAAAAUUUUAAAAAUUACAAAAAAAACCUUGCUGAAAUUACAAAAAAAACCUUAAAGAAAUUACAAAAGAAACAAUAAGAAAUCUUAAAGGAGAUGAAAGGAAAUCGACAAUAAACUUUAAAAGAAUCCUUAAGAAGCCCUAAAAAAUAUUAAAAUGAUCAAAAAUAUAUUUUAAAUAAAUCUCAAUCAAGUUCUAAUUUAAUCUUAGUUAAAACCCUAAUAGACUUCAAUCAAAUUCUAAAUAAAUUCUAAAUCUUAAAUCAAAUCUUAGAUUAAAUCCUAGAUCCUAAAACAAAUCCUAAACCAAAUCCUAAAUCAAAUACUAGACAAAUCUUAAAAUCUAAACCAAAUCCUAUAUCAAAUCCUAAAUCCUAAACCAAAUCUUAAACCAAAUCCUAGAUCAAAUCUUAGAUCCUAAACCAAAUCCUAAAUAAAAUCCUAAAUCCUAAAUCCAAUCCUAAAUCAAAUCCUAGACAAAUCCUAAACCCUAAAUCAAACUCUAAAUUUUAAAUCAAAUCCUAAAAAAAUCCUAAAUCCUAAAUUAAAUCCUAAAUUCUAAACCUAAUCUUAUACAAACACUAAAUCCUAAAUCAAAUCCUAAACCAAAUCCUAACCUUAAAUCCUAAAUCAAAUUCUAGAUCAAAUCUUAAUCCUAAAUCAAAUC